GACGAACGCUGGCGGCGUGCUUAACACAUGCAAGUUGAACGGGGCAUAUUUGAAGGGUAACCGGAGGGUAUGUCUAGUGGCGAACGGGUGAGUAAUGCAUGAGAACGUAUCCUCAAGAGGGGGACAACAUUGGGAAACCGAUGCUAAUACCCCAUAAGCCGGGAGGUAAAAGGAGCAAUCCGCUUGAGGAGCGGUUCAUGUCCUAUCAGCUAGUUGGUGAGGUAACGGCUCACCAAGGCGAAGACGGGUAGCCGGCCUGAGAGGGUGAACGGCCACACUGGAACUGAGAGACGGUCCAGACUCCUACGGGAGGCAGCAGUGGGGAAUAUUGGGCAAUGGGGGAAACCCUGACCCAGCGACGCCGCGUGAGGGAAGAAGGCCUUAGGGUCGUAAACCUCUGUUGUGUGGGAAGAAGAGCGUGACGGUACCACACGAGGAAGUCCCGGCUAACUACGUGCCAGCAGCCGCGGUAAAAGUCUACUG
rnacentral:rRNA from 1 species